GAUGAAGUAAGUUGCCGCUGAAAUUCAUGUCGAAAGUUUCCGGGGUUCAUAUACUGAUCGUGGACCUUGUUGGCUUCAUUGUCUGGCUUCCAGGAGGUGCUCUUUCCUUCAAAGUCAGAAUAUGGUAGUCCACCAUUCAGGUGUAAAGUAGAGCCAUUUGCACAGACACUUUUCACGUCUCUUCCUUCGACUUGUCUUGAGCAAUGUUCAAAAGUUAUGUUAGAAGGCGUGCUUGAUGAGGUUACAUGAAAGUUAUCAUCAACCUUCCUUCUCUUACUAGUUUCUAAACCAUCUUGCCAUAAUUUGUUGCUCUCACUGGCACAAUAGCCGGUCUCAGAAACUCCCUGGCACAAUAGUUGAGUGCCCAUCAGCGCAGAAGUUUCUGGUUGUGUCAGCUCAGUUUGGGAAUAUUCUCUCUUGGAUCCUCUCCUGUCAAUGAUGUCCACCAGAUCAUCCAGGAGUUGAGUCCCAGUCUGCAGCAUUGGUUGCCUUCUUCCAUCUACCUUUGUUUCAUUUGCAUGUGUUUGUAUGGCAAACUGGGCCUGUCGUACUCCACUGACACUAUGAUCCACCUGACUGUACCAACUCGGGCUUCCCCUUUGGUUUAUAUUAGCAUUUCGCAUACUCAAUCUCCUUGCUAUGACAUUUAAUGUAUGAUCCCUUGCUGAAGAUGGUGCUGAAGUUGGAAAUGGCAACGGUAAUUGCAGUGGGGUGUGAUGUACAAAGGGGACAAAACUUUGUGGAUUCUCCGUUUGUCGUUUCUCCAUGCUACGUACGCUUUGAUGCCAUUCCUUCACUGAAGAUGAUGUAGAUUCUGCGUUGAAUCCCAUAUGCCCCUCUGCAUUGUGAAAAUCCAAGUUCCAAGUAAAAGGCAUCUUUCUCUUUUCAUUUAUCUCUUCUUGGUUACCAAUUGCUCUGUCCCUGCUUUGCUUUUCUGCUCCAUUUUCCAAGUCAAAGUUUAACAUUCUCCUGCAUGAUUUUUCUGCAGAGUUCACGUUAGAGACUCCAACUUCGUUCACUACACCAGCCAGUGGAGUUGUGGAGGUUUUGAUGUCCUUUUUGCGCACAUACUUCCUUUUACCCAAAGGAUUUCCAUCGGGGCUAUUAUUUUUUGUGGUAGGCUUUGGUGUCCUUUUGGGUUUCCCUUCCACUACUACUUUUGGUCGGUGUUUUCUUCUUCUGGAUGGUUUCUGCUGUGGUGUCUUGUUCAUAUUAAUUCCUUCAUGAUUUCCAUCAUCAGACACGUUCUUUUCCUUUGGCAAUUCCAAUGUGGAAGUAGAUUCGUCCACAAUGUUCUGCAUUAUUUGAUUAGAUCGUUUCUCUACAAUUUCAGGUGGUUGAGAUAACACUAGACGACUUCCAUUAUCAGAAAUGCUCUUUUCUUUUGGCAAUUUCAGUAUGGCUGCAUAUUCGUCCACAAUGUUCUGCAAUAAUUGAUUAGAUUGUUUCUCUGCAAUUUUAGGUUGUUGAGAGAAAACAUUCUCUAUAUCAUCAUUUUCUUGAAUUGGGAUUUUGUCUACCAACCAAUGUGGUGCUCCAGUGGGCCGGAAGUUCUUUGAUUUGUUUUGCUGAUCUGGUGUUGCUGGCCCUAAUUGGAAGAGCCUGAGUGUACUUGUGGAUGCACCUGCUUCGGUUCUUGGUGGUGGUAAGUUCAGAUUAUAAUUGGGCCGGUAGUUAACCAACCGUCCAUCUGCCAUAAUGCAGCAUCAUAACAAUCAGUAAUGAUAAAAUUGUAACAAUAUUCUUUGUUCAUAUAUAUGUUUACAUGAAAGUUUAAUGAUUCUUGUCCGUUUAGAUUGACAUCUGUGGACACGGAUUAUGUCAAGACCUUCAAUAAAUGAUAAAAUUGAACUGGGAUUUACAUAAUUUUCUUUUUCAAAAUUAUUUGAAAAUUGAGUGAUGUCACCGAUCACGUGAAAGAUACGCAUGAAACUGAAAAGCAGGGGGCAUACGUCCCUGAUCACGUGAAAAUGAAUCUAUUCCUUUGUGGAUGCACAUGAAGAUUGAAACAUGGAACUUGUUAUUUACACCUAGAAGGUAUGACAUUGAUUACGCAAAAUAGUAUGCACAAAACAUGGAAGUAAAACCUAGUGAAUGUAACGUUCAUUGUGUGAAACAGGGAUGCACAAGACAUGGGAAGUAGAAGGAUUUAUGUCAUCGAUCACAUGUAAAUACCCCUAGCCCAGGGAGGGCAAGUCUUGCGCUGUAUAAAACAAAGUAUAAUUGUCAUAUUUAUGCGUAUUAAUUUCUGAUGUCACAGCCAAAUAAGAUUACGAGGUUAUAGAAGGCUAACCUUGCGAAAGCACUAGCAAAGUGUCGGCACUCUCCUCUCAUUGGGCAUGCAUUACAAUUUGGUUGUUUCUUUGUGCAGAAAACCUGUAUCCAAGAUUAAGAAACUAUCUAUUAUGAACCUCUCAUGUACCGAGGACGAUAAUGAGCUCCAGUGAAGACAUACCUUUCCAAAUGUUAUCAUUUGAUAGUGUAGCUCAUACCUGCAGUUCCAUAAUAUAUAAAUCAGUAGAACUUCUCCAGGUAUGUAUAAAAAUUUCUUCUGAUUAAACUGUCGAUAAUAAGAGAUUUUCGAAUUGAAAUGAGUCACUCUGAGAAAGGAAAUUACAAUGUUUUCUGAUCCAGCUUACAGAGUCUGGGCCAAAGAUAUUUCUGGAUAGAUUCCAGAACUGGGUACCUGCAUGAAACAAAAUUAGAAUCAAGAGUAGCUCAUAAACUUCACUGUUGAUUGCUUGGCAUGUACUUACAAUUCAAGGAGAUGCAAUUGGAGUGCCUCAGGUAGUGGCUGGAGAGGCACCCAUCCAAGUCGCACGGCAAUUCGUCCAACAUUUGUGUCAACCUAAGAAACCACAUAGUUAGGGUAAGACUUCUUCUUUUUUUUUUUUUUUCCUUUUUUUGCUUAUUGAUAUUGGGUAUAAGUUUUCUAUACAGGCAAAUGGCCUUACAGGGAAUGCAAGGUUAUGAAGUGUUAAUAGGCGUACGCACUCCACGCUCUUUAACCCCAGUCCUCGUAUGCUUAGUAGAUAAUCUCUGCAAGGCAUUAUGUACUCAGAGGCAAAGAGUGAAACUUUAGAGAUGGCAGAGAUACUGGAUGACAUGUCCUUGCCUUCCAUUACAUACUUUCCAAAGAUGGGUCAUGAAAGGAUUAAUUUCUUUUAGGAAACUUACUUUGACUUUUCUGGUGGAACGUCUCUCAACCAUUCCAGAUCCAUUCCUCCAUGGUCGUCAACCAGUCGAUUGAGAAAAUCCUAUAGAAUAUCCAACUAGUGUUAUACUCUGUGCUUUAGGUUUUAAUGGACUAUCGGUAGUUUUAUUGGAGUCCGCUUUAUAAACAUUCUACUAACCUUAAUUCUCUCUGCUAGCAUGUUGUUCAUUCCCCUUUCCUUGAUUGUUUCAGAAAUCUCACGAACAUUAGCCUUUCUUAAUGCUUCAUAGUCCAAAGAGUCCAUUGUUUCCUCAGUUCUCUCUCUUUUUCCCACCUCCAAUUGUGCCUGCUUUCUCAACUCAUCCCAAAGACAUGCUUCUCUCUUUUCCUUCUCAACUUUUGUCUUUCUUGCAUUUGAACUUGUGGGACCUGUCCAAUUUGUUGGUUUGGUAGAAGAAUUUACUUGUCCUGCGUCAUGUGGUUUAGAUAUUUUAUUCUUCAAAUGUAGGAAAAUAUCUACAACAAUUUGAACCUGUACAUAAAAAUUUUGUCCAGUAAAGCUAGUGAUGUCAGGGUUUUCAAGGAUAUUACCAUUUGGCUUUUCAUUGAAUGCUUCAGCAGGCAUUGUGCAGUCUGAUAGGAAGUUGCUUUCUUGCUGAGUGGUCUUGUGGCUUCCUCUGUUGCAGUUGGUGGAAUGUUGGCCCUCUCUGCUUUGAUACCCAGAUUGUAUAUUAGUCUGUGGUUCAAGGCACUUGUUUUGAAUUGUAUGGUCCACUCUUGUUGCUGGAUCUGGUCUUUCAGUCUGUUGGUUGAUAAAACUUCUUUCUGCAUCUGUUGUCUUGGUAUUCUCAAAAUCUGUUGAAGCCAAAGAGGAUAUGCUUUCUUUUCCUGGAGAUGCCAGGAAAUUUGAUUCCCAUUCUUCCAAGCCUGUUCUCAUGCCCAACCAGGAAUUGGUGGAUGGAGGGAUUGGCCUCUGAUGAUGCGGCAAAUUGGAAGUGAUUGGACUGGCAUAUGCCUUGCUGCCUCCAUCCAGUCCUUGAUUUUGCAGGUUGUACACAGGAUUUUCUGAUUGAGGGAGAUUUUUAUUUGCAGAAGAACUUCCCAUCACUCGACGCUGAUAUUCCUGUAAUGCAGCCAUUCUUUCAGCCUGUUCAAAAAGAUUCAGAGGGCCACAGUUUUUGCCUAAAUGACACACCGAUAUCUGAUCUUCGGCUUCUGAAUUUGAUCCUGAGCUGGAUCUGAUAUCUUCAUUUGCUUGGAAUACAAGGGAUUCAGAAGAACUUUGUGAUGAAAUUACGUCAUCCUCUGCUCUUCUAUUUUGCUUGUCCAUUGCAAAGUUUCUUGUUCCUGUCACAACAUUUCCUGCUCUAUAUUGACACGAUUCACUGGAUGUUACAGAGUUGUGGUUGUACACUGGCUGUCUUAUUGUGCUGUGAUCAUAAGUUAUAGUGCCAUCUGGACAAGUUACUUGAACCUCAUGUUCUUCAACUGACGGGCUAACUUCAUUUUGAUAGCAUGAUUGUCUGAUAAUUGUCGAUUUCAGGGGGAAUUUGGCUGCAAGACACAUGAAAGCAGAACUGCACAAGGGGAAAAUAUACGCAGAGACCAUCAGCUUAGGUAAUCUUGUUCGUCACUCAAAAGUUCUAUUAAAAAUGUUGGCUUUACCUUGAAAGAUGAUCUGAUACAUUCUGUGUGAGAAACACUCCUACCACGGAGUCAACAACUGAUCCUUUCCAUUUGGAGAAUCGUCUAUCACCUGCAAAUGUUACAAUUUCCAAUCAGAUUACGUUUCUAUGAAUCCAUGCAUUUGGUGAGGUAAAGUCAAAGCUUAUUUGCUUCUUUUUGGUUUGGUUCUGAAGUAAAAUGAAUCCCAAUUUACAUAGUUUCAAGAAAUAACACUAGAAUUUAUUAUGGCAUUUACUAAUUUAAGUGUGCUUUCCUAAAACUAAAUAAAAGCAGAAUUAAGACAAAAUAUGCAGAAAAUCAUUUUAGUAAUAAGAGUGGUGAAGUCACAAUAGUGGAUCAUCUCUCAAAUAAUGUUGGUUUAUGUAUUUAUAUUCAAGUGUGAUUUCCUUAAACUAAACAAUUAAGCAGAAUUAAGACGAAAUAUACAGAAUAUCCUUUUAGGAAUAAGAGUGUUGGUAAAGUCACAAUAGAGGAUCAUCUCUCAAAUAAUGUUGGUUUAUGUAUUUUGAUUUAAGUGUGCUUUCCUAAAACUAAACAAUUAAGCAGAAUUAAGACGAAAUAUACAGAAUAUCCUUUUAGGAAUAAGAGUGUUGGUAAAGUCACAAUAGAGGAUCAUCUCUCAAAUAAUGUUGGUUUAUGUAUUUUGAUUUAAGUGUGCUUUCCUAAAACUAAACAAUUAAGCAGAAUUAAGAUGAAUUAUACAGAAUAUCCUUUUAGGAAUAAGAGUGAUGGGAAAGUCACAGUAGAGGAUCAUUUCCCAGAUAAUGUUGGUUUAUGUAUUUAGAUUUGGUUGCAAAUAAGAAACCAAGACUUAAGAGGAUGUGAUGGAUAGGAUUAGGGCGAUUAAAAUAAACUGUAGAAGCACUAUAAGGAUUAUAUAUGAUCGAAUAUAUCCACCAUGUUAAAAUAAAUUUUAUGAACAGAUACCUUACUAGUUAUAUUGUUAAAUAAUAAAAUGUCUAUAACGUAAAUGAGUAUGUUAAGAUGGAUGAGUGGAAAUACAAGAACAGAUCAAACAAAAAAAUUUGAGGUUAUACAUCAAGUGGAUUUGAUACUAUUUGGAGAUAUAUUAAAGGAAGGAUGAUUUAGAUGGUUGGUACAUGGCUUCCAUAGAUCCAUAUAAGCUCUAUUCACAAGAAUGAUGUUAUUUGAGUUUAGCAAGUAGACUAAAGUCAACAAGACAUUUUGUUGCAAAAGAUUUGAGUACAUUGGACCUUUCACGAGAUUCACCACACUGAAGGGAGUGGACAAAACAGAUUCACGUAGCUAGCACAAGUUUAUUGCAAAUACUACUAAGCUUAUUAUUUUUGUUGUUCAUUGUUGUGGCUACAACACGUGAACUGAACCAUGUGAUUAUUUCCAGGUUAUGAUCACUAAAGACAACCAUUCUCUUUCUUCAAAGUCCUAUCUAGAAAGCAAUAGGGGCACCAUUGUGGUUUUGCACUCUCGGACUUCCCCCAUACUCUCCCUUCACACACUCCCCAAAUCACAAUGAUUUCUAAAUAAUAAAACUUGUUACUUUGUGUAAACAAUUAGCUGUAUUUGUUAUUGUUUUCUUACAACAAAAACAAAACUUAUCAUUAACUCCUAAGAUUCCUAAGGUAUAUUUCACAUUAUCAUCUUCACAUGUUUAAGAAAAUUAUAAAAUUUGGACUUAUAUAUGGUAUAUUUCGAGUGCAUUUACAUUUAAUCAAAAGAUUAAUAUUAUCUAACAUGUUAUGUAAAGAUAAUGUAUGAAAUAGAAUCGAUAAUGGAAUAGGGAUAGCUUAAGCAUGGUAUCAGCGAUGCCAACAAUUUCAUUGUCUGGGAGAAAAUACCUUGAACAAGAUGCAUCCGUGCAAUGAACGAGUCUACUCGUCCGCGGAACACUUUCCUCUCUUCUUCCCACCAUUUUUCUUUAUUCUUGUCUGUCGUUUCUGUGCUUUCACUUCCUUCCUUACCCAUCAAAAGAUUCCAUAGUCUAUUUGUCUCUGGAUCAAGAUCCACUUUAGGUCGUGGCCGUCGUUUUUUAAUUGGAUCAAAUUCUUCAUAUGGAACGAUAGCACCAUCUUGUUUAUAUGGAACAAGUGCACCUUGCUCCUCCCCAACAAUUUUCUUUCCACUACAGUUGAUGCUCAGAGAUUUUAAACUUUCUAUAAUAUUAUCAACUGAAAAUAAACGUCUGCUGUCUCCAAGCGAGCCUGCACAAAACAUAGAAAAACUGCUUAAAAUUUUUAAAUAACAACGUUAUGUUGAUGCUAACAGCAUAACUUGACGAAUAGAUGGGUAUCUAUGAUGUUUUUGGAGGGACCUUUGUAACCCCUUGUCUUGUUCUCUUUACUGAUGACUUUCUCCAUAUUAAUUGCUUGGUUGAAUGAUUUCAGUCUAGCUGUUUGUUCCUUCACCGAAAGGUGAAUAGAAGAAUUUAUUAUUUCAUUCCCUCGAAUGAUUUUAGGGCCCCUUUGAGAUGAAGACGCCUGAUUCCAUAGAAUUGCACCAAGGGAAUUGCUGCUUUGGGCUUUAUUAGUGUGACAAGUGACGUUCUGCACCAUAUGUUCUGCAAAUGAAUAAACUUGAGAUGAAGUAAGUUGCCGCUGAAAUUCAUGUCGAAAGUUUCCGGGGUUCAUAUACUGAUCGUGGACCUUGUUGGCUUCAUUGUCUGGCUUCCAGGAGGUGCUCUUUCCUUCAAAGUCAGAAUAUGGUAGUCCACCAUUCAGGUGUAAAGUAGAGCCAUUUGCACAGACACUUUUCACGUCUCUUCCUUCGACUUGUCUUGAGCAAUGUUCAAAAGUUAUGUUAGAAGGCGUGCUUG
rnacentral:lncRNA from 1 species